CUCUUAAUUUCUGUCAUACUGAAAAGGAAUUUUAUUUUUCCAGUAGGACGGGUUAAAUAUCCCUUGUCCAAAAUGCUUGGGACCAAAAGUAGAUUUUUUUCAGAUUUUGGAAUAUUUGUAUAUACCUAAUGAAAUAUCUUGGGGAUGGUACCUGAGUCUAAACAUGAAGUUCAUUUAUGUUUCAUAUAUACCUUAUGCACAUAGCCUGAAGGUAAUUCUCUACAAUGUUUUACAGUAAUUUUUUGCAGGUAACAAAGUUUUUACUAUUUUCACCAGAGCCUGUCACAUGAGGUCAGGUGUGGAACGUUGCAGCUGUGGUGUCAUGUCCGUUCUCAAAAAGUUUCAGAUUGUAGAGCAUUUUGGAUUUCAGAUUUUUAGAUUAGGGAUGAUCAAUCUACAGUACAGAUGCUCCUUGACUUACAGUGGGCUUACAUGAUAAUGUCUCUUGUUUGACUGAAACAUUAUAAGUAAUAUUUGCUUUAUUUCAGAUGCCACAGGUGUUCAAGAGCUAGAUGAAGCCAAACUAGACUACAUGGAGCUCCACAGUGAUCGUCUUCACCUCCAGCUCUUUGCAUUUACUUCUUCCCUCUAUCCUACAUGUGUUUUCCUUCCCUUUCAGAUAUCAACCUAUGAAUUGCCUCUACCAAAAAGCCUACAAUAUUGGCACAAACCUGGGCUAGUAUCCCUUCUAUGUCUUCCAAUAAGUGCUGUCUUGUGCCUGUCAUUGUAUGUAUGACUCUGUAUGGGAAUUGCCUGUUUGUUUUUUCAGAUUAUAGCAUACAGUUGUUGAGGGGUGGACCAUAUCAUCUUUAUCUUGUAAUUCCAGUGCUUGUCCUAGUAACUUAGCACAUGGUUGCUGAAUACGUGAAUGAAGAGUGAGAAACCAGAAGCUCUGAUAUUUAACUGCCGUGAUAAUGAAUUCAGUGUGCAACUAUGAGCAAAUUAUAUUUAAUAGUAAUUGCAUAUUUUACACAUUUUUCAUUCUUAUUAACACUGAUAAACUUUUCAACUUAUACUGACUUUAAUAAAAUUGUAUUACUAGGCUAUUAACAUGAUAUUUUGUUUCCCAUUAAAUGUGUGACAUGCAAAGAUGUUUAUUAAAUGAAAAUAGUUUUGUA